rnacentral:rRNA from 1 species
AGUAUUCCGAUGCCAGUUCGAGAACGUCUAUGACUGGACGACGCUUUCAGGCAGGUUAACAGUUAUCGACCUGGGAUCCGAUUCACUUCUGGCUCUUGAUGAACGCUAGCUACAGGCCUAACACAUGCAAGUCGAGGGGAAACGGCAGCUUAGCUUGCUAAGCUGGACGUCGACCGGCGCACGGGUGAGUAACGCGUAUCCAACCUGCCCCACGGUGAGGGAUAACCCGCGGAAACGCGGCCUAAUACCUCAUGGUCUCCGAGUUUGCCAUCAACCUUGGAGUAAAGAUUCAUUGCCGUGGGAUGGGGAUGCGUCUGAUUAGCUUGUUGGCGGGGCAACGGCCCACCAAGGCAACGAUCAGUAGGGGUUCUGAGAGGAAAGCCCCCCACAUUGGAACUGAGACACGGUCCAAACUCCUACGGGAGGCAGCAGUGAGGAAUAUUGGUCAAUGGGCGAGAGCCUGAACCAGCAAGUAGCGUGCAGGAAGACGGCCCUAUGGGUUGUAAACUGCUUUUAUGCGGGGAUAAAGGGGGCGACGUGUCGCCCUUUGCAGGUACCGCAUGAAUAAGGACCGGCUAAUUCCGUGCCAGCAGCCGCGGUAAUACGGAAGGUCCGGGCGUUAUCCGGAUUUAUUGGGUUUAAAGGGAGCGCAGGCCGGGUAUUAAGCGUGUUGUGAAAUGUAGGCGCCCAACGUCUGCACCGCAGCGCGAACUGGUGCCCUUGAGUACGCACGACGUUGGCGGAAUUCGCCGUGUAGCGGUGAAAUGCUUAGAUAUGGCGAAGAACUCCGAUUGCGAAAGGCAGCUGACGGGAGCGCUACUGACGCUCAUGCUCGAAAGCGCGGGGUAUCGAACAGGAUUAGAUACCCUGGUAGUCCGCGCGGUAAACGAUGGAUGCCC